AACACAAACACUGGACAAGGAUGAAUCGUUCUACUACAUUUUCUGUGGACCUGUGUUCAAGCAUGCUGACAAAUGGAGUAUACUUUGAAAGGCUGUUUGCCCAACUGUCUGAGACAGGGGUAGCUGCAGCCUGGUGCAAUGGGUGUGCCAAAAGGUAGGGGCGUGCCAAAAGGUUUCUCAUUGGUGAAAGGAGUUUUACUGUUUUGGCCAAUCAGCGGUAAAUAUACAUUUUAUGUAAUUUCCUUUAGACAAGAAAAGGUGGCGACGAUAAGACGUGAGGUAAUUAUUCAUCAUACGUUUAUCUAUACUUUAUAUUACCACAAAUAUGUAUAUUAAGAUAAGUUUGUUACAAUACGAUCAUAAUUUGUCCUUUGCGUUAUAUCUUGCAGCUUUAGUAAUUGGUUUAUUGUUGUUGACAGACAUACUGUAUGUACAGUGAGACAAAACGAUGACCGCAUCUGCAUCGAAGGCGAAGCCCUCAGAGCUGAUAGUUUGUAUCGGCAUCCUUUUUGUGCAAUACAGUACAGAAUACAUCCUGUAUCCAACUAAUGCAGAGUAUAUUCAAGUUGACAACACACUGGUUGUGAAGUAUCCUUUCCAGAGAAAUAUAAAAAGAAAUGACUGAAACUUGUGUUGGGGAGGAUUCAAUGUCUGUUAAGGCCCAUGUGAAUGUGCUACAAAGUGAGUAUCAGAAAACACAUCCAGACACCUGGACUGUCAAAGACCACAUGGCACAAACAUUCUCCUGAAGACGUGGAGAAAGCAUGGAAGGAAUGUCUGUGGAGGAUGUACUCAAAAAACACCCAUACUUAAGGACACCUGCUGGAGGGGACCCUGCUACACCCUUUCCUACCAUACAACUGAUGGAUACUGACUGUAAAAUGGCAAUCAUAGGAGGAGGGCUCAGUGUGGUGAAAGAAGAUGGAAUAGAUGUGUGCCAGUGCACCAGCCUUGAUGAAGCCUUCAUAACAGCCUUCUGGAUGUAUUCUGCUUUCAACAUUGCAUAUCCAACACACCUGAGAAAGACACUGACUUUCCUUCAGAGGCACAUUCUCAACAUUAGAAGAUGGAGACAAACACUGCCAGUAACUUUCCUCUGAAUGAUCAGCCUUUUGUAUUAGAUCGUCAUGCCUCAACUGUACCAUUGCCCAAAGUUCACUCGCAGGACAUUCACUCUUUUGAAGGUAAUCCAACAUGUUGGAGUUGUACAUGCACAUUAACCAAAUAUUAGUAUAACCUGUGGUAUUGAUGAGUGCCAGUCAACUAUUUUGUGAUUCCAUUCUUUUAGAAACCAUGCACAGGAAACAUAUGUACUUAAGGUACUCAGUGAAGAGUCAGCAGUACAGUUGUAUUAUAAUAUAACGGAGAAAGGUCUGGCUGCAGACUUGCACUCUCAGACUCUUGCGCUUCCACUAGUGACAACACUUGCAGUCUUUUUUAUUUUAUAUUUUAUUCUACUUAUUGGUUACUUUUUGUUUGAAUCUCUCAACAUUUGUGUUUCUCUUGUGUAGGUAUCAUUGACUGGAAAUCUGUUAAUCCAGAUGUGAGGAAGACAUACAGAGUGGAGUUGGAGCUCAGCAGGUGUGAUUAUUUUUUUUACUUGAAUUGGCGACUGAAACUGAAAGCUAAAUAAAUGUUUUAGUGGAUAAAGCUGUGUCUGUUUG
ensembl:lncRNA